rnacentral:rRNA from 1 species
CAGCAGCCGCGGUAAUACAGAGGGUGCGAGCGUUAAUCGGAUUUACUGGGCGUAAAGCGUGCGUAGGCGGCUUCUUAAGUCGGAUGUGAAAUCCCUGAGCUUAACUUAGGAAUUGCAUUCGAUACUGGGAAGCUAGAGUAUGGGAGAGGAUGGUAGAAUUCCAGGUGUAGCGGUGAAAUGCGUAGAGAUCUGGAGGAAUACCGAUGGCGAAGGCAGCCAUCUGGCCUAAUACUGACGCUGAGGUACGAAAGCAUGGGGAGCAAACAGGAUUAGAGACCCGUGUAGUCCCUGUCUCUUAUAA